CUGAGGUCCCCAGCUCAGCGACUGGAGCUCUGGCCGAGAGGGGAAUGAGCACCAGACAUCUUCUCCCAGCAGGGUCCCUUACGUAACCUGCUAACUUGCACCGGCCCCCUAUGGAGGUCAUGCUGUUAUUGCCCCAUCUUCGUUUUACAAAUGACCGAAGCGAGGCAUGGCCAUGUUGAGCCCUAGGAACAGCUCACGGAGAGGCAAGCUGGCACCGAAGCUGGGCACUGACCGUGACACUACCCGGCCUCUUGCGGCUGCGAGCACGUGACCCAGACAUCACCAGUAGAAAUGUCAUAACCACAACAGAUGAGAGCCCAUCCUGCUCAUUUCUACUCAGCCUCUAGAGGCACCUGGGCUCCUGGUGCCACGGCUGCCCGAGCUGAGACACCGAAGCAAGGAGCAGCGUCAUCCUGGUUGGAAGGAUAAGGAACCAGAGCACCACCUGCCAUUGCCGGGGGCCCACGGUGAGCCAAACCUGCGGGGUAUGCGGCCGCACCACCCUGGGCACUUUGCCAUUUGAACAAGGGUUAACUCGGCACUUAAAGGCGAGGGGUCUGAAGCAGCAUAGCCAUCUCAGCUACCACCAGACUUGGUGACAAGGGCAACACAGGACACGAUAGAGUGGGGCACAGAGAGCAUCUUCAGGCAACACCAAAAUCAAGACUGUCCUUGGGUCAGGCACAGGAAGAUCCUGAGCUCAUGUCCUCCCACAGAGGCACCAAAUCUGCAGCUACAUGCGGAACACUUCCCUCCGAUAAAGAACUAGAAAUGAGGGCGCCUGGGUGGCUCAGUUGGUUGGGCGACUGCCUUCGGCUCAGGUCAUGAUCCUGGAGUCCCGGGAUCGAGUCCCGCAUCGGGCUCCCCCUGCUCGACAGGGAGUCUGCUUCUCCCUCUGACCCUCCUCCCUCUCAUGCUCUCUGUCUCUCAUUCUCUCUGUCUCAAAUAAAUAAAUAAAAUCUUUAAAAAAAAAAAAAAAAGAACUAGAAAUGAACUGAACUGCUCCACCACAACAAAGUAUAAGAGGACCACAUCGAGAUGCGUUGGGGAGGCAGAGACAUGGUCUUACCAAAACCCCUCCCGUGAUGUGGUGACACCCCAAGUCUGCACUCUCUCCUGGAGGAGUAAGGGGUUUGUUCCCCCCACCUUGCACCCCAAACUUUGGGCCCUGCCCUGGAGAGACAAGCCCCCAAAACAUCUGGCUCACAAAACCAACAGGACUGAGGUUCAAGGGACCCAAAGGGCUAUAGGGAACUGAGAUACUCCUUUUAAAGGACUCAUGUGUGGUCUCACUCACCCCCGGAACCCAGGGCCAAAGCAGCAGUUUGGAAAGCACCUACCUAGAACACCUGUGAUGGAGCUUCGUUUAUUAAUAUUAAAGCAUCGGCCAGAGGGCAGGGGACAACUGGGACUGUCUCCAGAGACAGAAACGCUGGCGAGCACCCUUUCUGCGUUCUCUCUUGACCCUGCUAGCAUAGACAGGCAGGUACAGACGUGGCACUCUCCCACUGCUUUACUGAAACAGGUGGCCAUGUGCAGUUCAACCACACACUCCCGCUGCCUUGCUGGGGCCAGAGGGUCUGAACAAUCAUGGCAUUCUCCCCCUGCCUUGCUGGAGCUGGUGGGCAUGUGCAGACAUAGCCUAUUUUUGCUGCCUCCCUGAAGCUAGUGGGCACGCACAGACAAGGCAUUCUCCUGCUGCCAUGCUCAAGUCGGUGGGCACACCCUGCCUGCCAUGCUUUCCCCCUCCAUCGUUGAAGUUGGAAGGCAACUGCAGUUCACACGGGAAAUGCCCCCGUGAUUUCCUGGCCCUGGUGGCCAGGGAGGCUGGCAUUCCUGGACUCCACGGGACUAUAACAACAGGAAAGACAAUUCUUAGCUGGCUGCCACCCUCAGAGCACUGCACAGACAGUAGACUGAAACACAUCCUCAGUCUUCCUGUGCAAAAGGCCCAUUUACUUGUCCUGAAUCCCCAGCCUGAGGGACAGGUGUCAGGCUGGCCACAAAUCUAGAGACCACAGAAGAGCUCUCAGGAAACUUAGGCAGGGAGACAUACCCUCCUUACAUGCUCCCCUGGCCUGGCUACAGCUUGCUGGUACUCCCCAGGAAAAAGCUUAGACACCCAUCUGGAGCCCUGAUUUUUGCAAGUGUUACUCAGGGGAUACCAUCACAUCUCCUGGUCUGGAGGCCAGCAGGAUUUACAUUUGCAAUCCCAUGGGAUUACAUAUAUUUGCAUACUUUAAAAGCUGCUGCCUGAGGGUCUGGCUUCUAAUCAACCUGAAACUAGGUGCUAACUGAUAUUCCUUCCCUUGGAACACUGACAGGUCUUGGUACAUGGACCCAUCAAAAAUAAGUCAGGCUGGGGCGCCUGGGUGGCUCAGUCGUUAAGCGUCUGCCUUCGGCUCAGGUCAUGAUCCCAGAGUCCUGGGAUCGAGCCCCGCAUCGGGCUCCCUGCUCCACGGGAGGCCUGCUUCUCCCUCUCCCACUCCCACUGCUUGUGUUCCCUCUCUCGCUGUGUCUCUCUCUGUCAAAUAAAUAAAUAAAAUCUAAAAAAAAAAAAAAAAAGUCAGGCUGCUUACAAUGUCCACAAUAGCCAAACUGUGGAAAGAGCUAAGAUGUCCAUCGACAGAUGAAUGGAUAAAGAAGAUGUGGUAUAUAUAUACAAUGGAAUAUUAUGCGGCCAUUAAAGGAGUGAAAUCUUGCCAUUUGCAACGACGUGGAUGGAACUGGAGGGUAUUAUGCUGAGCAAAAUAAGUCAAUCAGAGAAAGACAUGUAUCAUAUGACCUCACUGAUAUGAGGAAUUCUUAAUUGUAGGAAACAAA